rnacentral:tRNA from 1 species
GAUUGGAUGGCUGAAGAUUAGGCGAUAGAUUGUAAAUCUAUUUAUGAAGUUUAUCUUCUUCAAUCA